GCCCGGGUGGCGAAAUUGGUAGACGCGCUAGUUUCAGGAGCUAGUGGUAGUGAUACUGUGCUGGUUCGAGUCCAGUCCCGGGCA
rnacentral:tRNA from 1 species